GAUGAACGCUGGCGGCGUGCCUAAUACAUGCAAGUCGAGCGAACAGACGAGGAGCUUGCUCCUUCGACGUUAGCGGCGGACGGGUGAGUAACACGUAGGUAACCUAACUAUAAGACUGGGAUAACUUCGGGAAACCGGAGCUAAUACCGGAUAAUAUAUCGAACCGCAUGGUUCGAUAGUGAAAGAUGGCUUUGCUAUCACUUAUAGAUGGACCUGCGCCGUAUUAGCUAGUUGGUAAGGUAACGGAUUAGCAAGGCAACGAUACGGAGCCGACCUGAGAGGGUGAUCGGCCACACUGGAACUGAGACACGGUCCAGACUCCUACGGGAGGCAGCAGUAGGGAAUCUUCCGCAAUGGGCGAAAGCCUGACGGAGCAACGCCGCGUGAGUGAUGAAGGUCUUCGGAUCGUAAAACUCUGUUAUUAGGGAAGAACAAACGUGUAAGUAACUGUGCACGUCUUGACGGUACCUAAUCAGAAAGCCACGGCUAACUACGUG
rnacentral:rRNA from 1 species